rnacentral:rRNA from 1 species
AUUGAACGCUGGCGGCAGGCCUAACACAUGCAAGUCGAACGGCAGCACGGGAGCAAUCCUGGUGGCGAGUGGCGAACGGGUGAGUAAAGUAUCGGAACGUGCCCAGUCGUGGGGGAUAACGUAGCGAAAGUUACGCUAAUACCGCAUACGAUCUAUGGAUGAAAGCGGGGGAUCGCAAGACCUCGCGCGAUUGGAGCGGCCGAUAUCAGAUUAGGUAGUUGGUGGGGUAAAGGCCCACCAAGCCGACGAUCUGUAGCUGGUCUGAGAGGACGACCAGCCACGCUGGGACUGAGCCACGGCCCAGACUCCUACGGGAGGCAGCAGUGGGGAAUUUUGGACAAUGGGCGAAAGCCUGAUCCAGCCAUGCCGCGUGCAGGAUGAAGGCCUUCGGGUUGUAAACUGCUUUUGUACGGAACGAAAAGGACUGCCCUAAUACGGUGGUCCCAUGACGGUACCGUAAGAAUAAGCACCGGCUAACUACGUGCCAGCAGCCGCCGUAA